AGGACGAACGCUGGCGGCGUGCCUAACACAUGCAAGUCGAGCGGAAAGGCCCUUCGGGGUACUCGAGCGGCGAACGGGUGAGUAACACGUGAGCAACCUGCCCCUGGCUCUGGGAUAGCCUCCGGAAACGGGGAUUAAUACCGGAUAUUCACUGUCUCCUGCAUGGGGGGUGGUGGAAAGUUUUUCGGCUAGGGUGGGGCUCGCGGCCUAUCAGCUUGUUGGGGGGUGACGGCCCACCAAGGCGACGACGGGUA
rnacentral:rRNA from 1 species